AGAAAGGCUGAUGUACAUAACAUUGAACUGACUGUUGUAACUCAAGCUGAACAUGUGACUCAGUUGAUCCAAAAAAGGCACUGCUACACAAACAUCUAAUGUAUGCUGAAUAAUCACGUUUAUCCGAAAAAUGGCAGCAUGAAAGGAUCAUCGCCUGAGUCCUGUUAUACACGAGCAUCCUGCUGGACCUCCCCUGUAUCUGCAAAGUACCAGCCUCCACUGGUUUUACCUACACUGAAGGUCAUUUGAUCUCCAAAAGCCAGAUGCCUCUGCUCUCCACGCUUAUACCAGGUCGACCUGAUCUGUCUUUAUCCAGCAACCAAAAGUAAUGUCUGCAGUCUUCAGUCUGUCUUCAAAAUCAGACACUUUGAAUGUACAAGAAGUACCAGCCUCCACUGGUUUUACCUACACUGAAGGUCAUUUGAUCUCCAAAAGCCAGAUGCCUCUGCUCUCCACGCUUAUACCAGGUCGAAAUGAUCUGUCUCCUUUAUCCAGCAACCAAAAGUAAUGUCUGCAGUCUUCAGUCUGUCUUCAAAAUCAGACACGUUGAAUGUACAAGGUAUCUCCACACAAGAACCGCUCAAUGCUGUUAUACUUCUUGGC